rnacentral:rRNA from 1 species
AUUGAACGCUGGCGGCAUGCCUUACACAUGCAAGUCGAACGGUAACGGGCCUUCGGGCGCCGACGAGUGGCGAACGGGUGAGUAAUGCAUCGGAACGUACCUUUCAGUGGGGGAUAACGUAGCGAAAGUUACGCUAAUACCGCAUAUUCUGUGAGCAGGAAAGCAGGGGAUCGCAAGACCUUGCGCUGAUUGAGCGGCCGAUGUCAGAUUAGCCAGUUGGUGAGGUAAAGGCUCACCAAGGCGACGAUCUGUAGCGGGUCUGAGAGGAUGAUCCGCCACACUGGAACUGAGACACGGUCCAGACUCCUACGGGAGGCAGCAGUGGGGGAAUUUUUGGACAAUGGGGGCGAACCCUGAUCCAGCCAUGCCGCGUGAGUGAAGAAGGCCU